rnacentral:rRNA from 1 species
CAAUAGCGUAUAUUAAAGUUGUUGCAGUUAAAAAGCUCGUAGUUGGAUUUCGGGGUAGCCUGGCUGGUCCGCCGCAAGGCGAGUACUGGUCAGCCGCCCUUCCUCUCGAAAGCCCCGACUGCUCUUCGUUGCAGUGGUCGGGUAGUUCGGGACGUUUACUUUGAAAAAAUUAGAGUGUUCAAGGCAGGCCUACGCCUGAAUACAUUAGCAUGGAAUAAUGGAAGAGGACCUCGGUCCUAUUUUGUUGGUUUCCAGGGCCGAAGUAAUGAUUAAGAGGGACAGUUGGGGGCAUUCGUAUUUAAUUGUCAGAGGUGAAAUUCUCGGAUUUAUGAAAGACGAACAACUGCGAAAGCAUUUGCCAAGGAUGUUUUCAUUAA